GCGUCAGUAGUGCAACGGGUUAGAGCAUGCGCUCUCGGAUAGAGUGUGAUGCAGGUUUGAAUCCUGCCUGAUGCG